CUCACCUUAUCCCUAAAGGCCCUGUCACACUGUCCCGAAAUUGACUCCCGAUGGACACACGAAUAUGGAAUUGUGAAUUUCGCACGAAGAUGGCCCCGAACUUGGUCAUCGGCCAAGCAACAGCCGAAGCAACAGCCGAAGCAAGUACGAUGCCUACAGAAGGCCACACGAUGGCACCCGAACCACCCACGAAGGCGACACGUGACCUCCCGAUGGUAUAAAAGCUUCGGCCGUGUGGGAAAUCAAAUUCUUGAUCGGAGAUUAUUGAACACAAGGUAAAUUCUACUUUAAGUCUACGUUAACAUGCCACCCAAGGCAGGGAGAGGCAGACGGAAGAAGCUGGCUGUUAAAUACACUCAGAAGAGGAAACUGAGGUCCAAUAACACAGCACUGAGUCUGCAACCAGAGAGAGAAAGGGGAGGAAAUGCAAGAAAGUCGGGCCAACUAAAACUCCAGAGCGGCCCCCAGAGGGUUCCAGGUCUCCUCAGCAGUCCGAAGAGUCUCGGCAGCAUUCACCUUCUCCUCGUCGUAACAGACAUCCCGAAUCCUCGGAGGAUGAAGAUGAGUCAGCCUCCCCCGCCCUCCCUGCAGGCAAGUCCAAGCCUGAAGUGGGCAAGGGCGACAAAGGGAAAGGCAAGGCCCAGAAGGAGAACCCACCCCCUGGUGUAUCAUACAGCUUCACAGAGGCGCAGGAGGAGGCAAUCGCUUGCUGGGUGAAGAGUAAGAAGCUACUGUAUGACAUGAAGGACAAACAGUACAAAGAGAAGGCAUUCAAGAGGCACCUAUGGGAGGGAAAGGCUGCGGAGUACAGGUUGGAUUAUCAUUCAAUUCUGAAAUGGUAUCAAACAGAGGACUCGAUUCUCAAAG